rnacentral:tRNA from 1 species
AGGGUCGUAGCUCCAAUGGUAGAGCGAAGGUCUCCAAAACCUAAGGUUCGCGGUUCGAAUCCGCGCGGCCCUGCCA